GUUUUCAUUUCUCCCUUUUCACCGGCCGGCCGGCAAACUGGAGCGACACACCCCCACAAUCUGCACAGAAAAAAAGUGAGUGACACAUUCCAAACUACCCAUUGGCUUCUGGCUUGCGAUGGCAGCGGACCAAUAGCAGUGAAUUGAAGGCGGUGCCUUGUGAAUCUCGCCUGGCUGCACGCGCAGGGGAGUGGGGGCGUGGCAUUUUUUUGAGGAAAAAAAGCUAAACAAUCUUUAAUAUUUCAAAUUGACUGUGUCGGCUUUUUAAGUUGUCUCGGCUGGUGGAGAAGUCCAUACCUUAGAAUAGUGGUAACACACGGGGAUCCACUCAAGACAGGCCUGAAUGUAUUUUCUUCCAAAUUUCUGGACGAAAAGGUAUAGAAAGCGGGUAAUCUUUCUUUAGUCACCACUCCGGUCAGACGAUGAAUUCUAAACGUUUGCUUGACAUGUCUCCGGCUGAAAUACUGGUCGGGGGCGCUUCGAAACAAGCCGGUAUUGACCAGCAUGCAGAGGGUUCCAAGGGAAGCGAAAUGAGUGUCACCACUACUGACAGCGGUGUCAUUCUGGCGUGCGGGAGCGGGCCCGCAUCAGGAGCAGUUUUCUGCACAUUCGUGCUAGACGAUGGCACUUUGAGAGAAUGUACAAACCAGGACAUUAUCCUCAAUGGGAAUGACCUGUCGUCAGGGAAAGAAAAAUACGCGCACCGGAAAAUAAUGGGUUGUGGUGGCGAGGCAGAUGAGAGGAACAGUGGUCUGACUGGGGUCCUUACUAACGGCAGUCCCACUCACUGCCUGAUCCUGAACGGGCAGAAGCCGGACAGACACAUGCACUCGAAAGUGAGGAAUCCGCUGGUGCCCGAUGGUUUCCAGGAAACCGGACAUCAAGUGCCACCUGAGGAGAGAAAUUCCCACCCCUCCUCCCACAUACCUGUCCCCCGACGCAGAAUGUGGCUGUGGAAUCUGACUUUGUGACUCGGGAAUCUAGUGGAAACCAGACGGGAGGCAAAGGAAGACGAAGAAGUGAAUGAUGUUUUGGUGGCAUGGGAGACAAUGUGAAUAAGUAACAUUUUUGGUGCCUGUGAGCUUUUAAAUUAGCAUAUUUUGUGUUAUGGUUUGCAUAUUAUCACAAACAAAGUACUAGGAUUGUGAAUUCAGCUGUAAGCUAGCAAGGAAAGUUAGCCUACAAUUAAAGCUGGAAGCUACCGGUUUCGUCUUGCAUUGUAAAAGUGUCAAGCCUGUAUUGACAUUGUUUUGUGAACAGUAAUGAAAAGUUUCAACAUUUCUACAUGCCGUGUUGCAUUAUUCAAGUGUGUUAACUUCUGUGCAGCGUGAGUGGGGACUGGGGAGCUAAUGCAGCUCAGACAGCUCUAGCAAUGAAUGACUAAGUGGACUAGGCUCUUUGCUCUUGGCGCUAUAAAGAGGCUAUGCUGAUACAGACUUGAUCCUCUCAAUCACGUAAGACACAUUUGACAGAAGUACCAAACGUAACAAAAAUUAUAGUACCUAACUGUACAUAUUGUUUUGGUAUCGAAAAGUUUCGGUAUACUGUGCAACAUUAUAACAUAGAUAUUACCAAGUACUGCAUCUAUAACAAUAUGGUUAUUACAUGGUUAUUACCAGUGGCAUGGUUACUUCUUCAGCCAGAGUUGGGUCAAUACCAGUCCUGGUCCAGAUGAAACAGUCAUUGAAUGAGGCAUAGAAUUUCUGAAAUUGAAAAUAGCUCUAAGAAUUGGAUGUUUCCACCUAAAAAUCCAAACCCAAGUUGUGAAUAAACUGGAGUUGAAAUGGAAUUGUUUGGAACUAUCCCGUGGUUUGGGCAUAAAUGUCGUGGGGAGGCUUGGUCAGAUGACCGCUGUUGGAUUCUUAGAAAGCAUUCCAGUGUUUCAGAAUACUUCUGAUUCUCAAGAUGUAAAAUAAAUGCCUUCAAGUAAAUGCCUUAAAUGGUUAAAGGUUUAGAAUAAGGUCAAGAUUGCCCAAUCAUGUGGGUGAGAAUGGAAGAUAUGAUGGUCAUGUUGCUGUUGACUGAUAAACCUAAACCAAUACUGCUCUCACUGUAAUAGUGAGACCACUAGCUUAUGAACCAAUCGCUAUAUUAAUCCAUACACAAAUCAGUGCACAUGAUAUCAAUGACUUGUAUCACUGCCUUGCUCACCAUGGCCAACCACACUAAAUGCGGUCUUUACCUUAAUAUUGAGAUCCAAGCAGUUCACUCAUUCAACGCUACAAAAAAUGACCCAUGUUUCACUUUGUUGAGCGUAUGGUCUUUCAUACUAGAGGAUAUUGUGUUCAUAAAGAUUGGUUCCUUGGAUUGGACAUGAAAGGUUAUGGAAUUAUCGACCCCCACAGACCCCCACCCCCUUUUAUAAUCUGUAAAUCAGUAUAAUGUCCAAGUGAAAUUGACUUAACAAUUAACACUUUACGUUACAUUUUUGUAAUAUCUCUUUUCUCAGUUUCAACCCGGUAUCAGUAAGCCAGGUGUGCGCUCUGAGUGGCUAGACAGACCAGAGUGUGUAUGUUGUCAUGUUUAUCUCUCAGUAGUUUGUACUGUUGCGUGUGACUCAGUGACUAGCAGAGCGAGAGGGGCUCAAGGCUGUUUUCUCUGUUGCUGUGACACACACACACACACACACACACACACACACACACACAGACAGGCAGCAGUCAGAGAGAGAGAGAGAGCUGUGUCUGUCCAGGGACAUGACCCGUCAGCGCUCUGCUAGAUAAAACUGAUACAUAACAGAUGAGAUCUGGGAACGGCUGCAGGCAGACGCUUUUUGAGAGCCUUUUUAUUCAAAAUGUUUUAGAACCAUUGAUAGGUUGGAGAAGCUGUCUAUAUGGGGAGGGAAGCUCUAUCUCUCUAUGUGUGUGUCUUCAUAAUGUAGUAGGGAAUUGGCCUGGUUUGUCACCUCCCCUACCAGCUGUCACACUUGGGGUUUUCUGCUAGGGCAGUGUGUCGAACACAGUUGUGUAAAAGAGUUCAGUUCAUGGUUGUAUUGCUGGGUUACUGUGUCCUGCAAACAAGCUAAAACAAGCCUCUCUGCACAGAGGAGAGGAAGGACUCAGGAGGUGCACACAAACACACACAGAUACAGCUGAUAAAAAUAACAAAAGAACGUGUGAAUUAACAAAAAGAGGUCCAUUGGAAUGGUUGGGCCAGCUUUUUGGCUGGUUCGUUGUGAAAAUGUUUUCUUAUCUCUGCUCCUGCAGGUAUUGACUCUGAUGCAGUUGUUGAAGUGAAUGGAAAUAGUGCCCCUAGUUUAUCUAUGUCAACACUGUGACAGAUUGCCACUAGGGCCGUGACGGUCAUGGAAAUUUGGAUGCCGGUUAUUGGUCUGCCAAAAUACGCACAUUUUCUCCUCUCCUCCACCCCUGACUGCAUGUGCUGCUGCUGCUGGAAGGGGGCAUUGCCUAGGCAACCAAGGACUCGUUUGUUACAACACCCUGGUUUUUUUCAGCAAGAAGCAACAAAGUUUCAUCAUGUUGUAAAGAGUCCAUGUUACCGAGUAAAUGGACUCAACCACACCAAUGCUCGGUCGUCCCAAGUCAGUUGUUCGUUCUACAAAAAAAGGAAAAAAAGAAUGAUAAAACAACGGUUAUGACGGUUAUUCCUUUUCAUGACAGUCUUCAUCCAUAAUCGACAGAGGUAAUCAGCAGCAUGGUGGUUAUGGAGGCUGGAUGAAGCACAUGUUAUACACACAGUUCUUACUUUCACAACUAGGGGAAAGUCAGAUCUAUUUGGCUUUCCCUCCCGAAGUUGUUGACUUGUGCUAGAAUAUUUUUGUACAAUUUACCACCCAGCCAUAUUAUUAGCCAUGAUUAGGGCCUUGGCUCUUCCCUGACCUUGUAACCUGACCAGGAAAAAAAUGAGCCAGCCCUGAGAGAGAGACUCUAACCCCAGCAUAUGUUUUAUAGCCUCCUCACCAAUGAUCCCUCUCUAAUCUGUGUGCAUGCAGUUCCUGGAGCAGUAACGCACAGAAGAAUUGCAGCCCACGCAGAGAUGGACAAGAUUGAACUUCACUAAAAUGUGCACAAUCUUUCCUGGCUUGAUUAUAUAACCUCCUAACGUUCUUCUAUUGAUUAUAUAACCUCCUAACGUUCUUCUAUUGAUUAUAUAACCUCCUAACGUUCUUCUAUUGAUUAUAUAAUCUCCUAACGUUCUUCUAUUGAUUAUAUAACCUCCUAACGUUCUUCUAUUGAUUAUAUAACCUCC
rnacentral:lncRNA from 1 species